CAUUUUCAAAUAUAAAAGGUGCGGUGGGGUAGCUUUGUGGUUUUAACGUUCACUCGUCACGCCGAAGACCCGGGUACGAUUCCCCAUACGGGUACAAAAUGUGAACCCCUGUUCUGGUGUCCACCGUUGUAAAAAUGCUCUAAUGUUGCUAAAAGCGGCUUACAAACAUACUCACUCA